UACGUAGGGAGCAAGCGUUGUCCGGAAUCAUUGGGCGUAAAGCGCGCGUAGGCGGCCCGAUAAGUCCGCUGUGAAAGUCAACGGCUCAACUGUUGGAUGCCGGUGGAUACUGUCGGGCUAGAGUACGGAAGAGGCAAGUGGAAUUCCUGGUGUAGCGGUGGAAUGCGCAGAUAUCAGGAGGAACACCUAUAGCGAAGGCAGCUUGCUGGGACGUUACUGACGCUGAGACGCGAAAGCGUGGGGAGCGAACAGG
rnacentral:rRNA from 1 species